rnacentral:rRNA from 1 species
GACGAACGCUGGCGGCGUGCUUAACACAUGCAAGUCGAACGGAAAGGCCCUGCUUUUGUGGGGUGCUCGAGUGGCGAACGGGUGAGUAACACGUGAGUAACCUGCCCUUGACUUUGGGAUAACUUCAGGAAACUGGGGCUAAUACUGGAUAGGAGCUCCUGCUGCAUGGUGGGGGUUGGAAAGUUUCGGCGGUUGGGGAUGGACUCGCGGCUUAUCAGCUUGUUGGGGGGGUAGUGGCUUACCAAGGCUUUGACGGGUAGCCGGCCUGAGAGGGUGACCGGCCACAUUGGGACUGAGAUACGGCCCAGACUCCUACGGGAGGCAGCAGUGGGGAAUAUUGCACAAUGGGCGGAAGCCUGAUGCAGCAACGCCGCGUGCGGGAUGACGGCCUUCGGGUUGUAAACCGCUUUCGCCUGUGACGAAGCGUGAGUGACGGUAAUGGGUAAAGAAGCACCGGCUAACUACGUG